rnacentral:rRNA from 1 species
GAUGAACGCUAGCUACAGGCUUAACACAUGCAAGUCGAGGGGAAACGAUGAGAGAGCUUGCUCUCUUAGGCGUCGACCGGCGCACGGGUGAGUAACGCGUAUCCAACCUACCCAUUACAGGGGGAUAACCUUGCGAAAGUAAGACUAAUACCCCAUGGCAUUUUAUGGUGGCAUCAUUAUAGGAUUAAAGAUUUAUUGGUAAUGGAUGGGGAUGCGUCUGAUUAGCUUGUUGGCGGGGUAACGGCCCACCAAGGCAACGAUCAGUAGGGGUUCUGAGAGGAAGGUCCCCCACAUUGGAACUGAGACACGGUCCAAACUCCUACGGGAGGCAGCAGUGAGGAAGAUUGGUCAAUGGGCGAGAGCUUGAACCAGCCAAGUAGCGUGCAGGAUGACGGCCCUAUGGGUUGUAAACUGCUUUUAUAGGGGAAUAAAGUGAGCUACGUGUAGUUUAUUGCAUGUACCCUAUGAAUAAGGACCGGCUAAUUCCGUG